CAAAUGAAUCUUAUGCUAAUGACAUUAUGCUAGCAUCCACUCAUACUUAGCACCAUGAGCAUUAUUCUAUUUCAUACUUGAUCAAUGAUGGGUCAUGUGUAAUAUUAUGAAUAUUUAUUUACCCCCCCCCCCCCCCCUUUACUUGUUUGUGACUGUUUCCAUCCUUUUCAUAAAUAAAGUCUCUGAGCAAGAAUGACUGUGUUUUCUGAAGCUGCUUUUUAUCUAUAGCUUACACAUGGCAGGGAGGAGUAGUGUAUAGGCCUAGAGACUUUCCCAUCUCUUACACACACACACACAGGCACAAAAUGUACCUUAGUAUAUUAAAAGCUCAAGCUGAAGUUAAAAUGCCAGCAGUAAAGUGAAAGAGCCAGGAAUGAGCCACGGUCUGUUGUUACUUCUGAUGUCAGUCAUAUUUUUGUCUGGUCAUGUGAUCAUUAAUGAUGGAUCCACUCUCAGGCCAGAACUUACUGGGCCUAGUAUGGCCUUCCUUAAAUCUACAGUAAAGUUUGAAUGUAAGCUGUCAGAUUCACCAUCACCGGUGACCUUUGAACUUAUAAAGGGCAAUGACGAGGUCCUUGCCACAAAAAAUGGUCCAAUCACAUUUCCUCUAAAAGUCAGAAAUGGGUCAGAGGGCGAGUAUUUUUGCAGAGUGACAGCAAGAAAUCACACAAGCACAAGCAACCCAGUGCACUUACAAGUAGUGAUUCCUGUCCUAGGUGCCUCCUUAGUCCCAGAACCCAGCCCGCCUGUCAUCUAUGAGGGGGCGGGGUUUAAUCUGAGCUGUAAGACCAAAAUGGGGUCUCACCUCAAAUACUCAUGGUACCACAACAAGCAAGAAGUGACCUCACCCUCGCCUCUUCAUCAUUUUGUUGGAAACAUGCUGACAGUGGAUAGGGCUGUUGAAAGGCAUGCUGGGACAUACUCAUGUGAGGCCCAAAACAAGAUGGAGAACAAUUCUAGAGUCUCCAACAGUAUGCCAGUCACCGUCGUGGUAAAAAAAUAUCUGUCAGCUCCCAGGCUGUCAUUCACACUUUUCCAUGAUGGCUCGGGCUACUAUGCUAACAUCAGCUGUCGGUUGUCCUAUGGAAGCCCUCCAGUGAUGUUCCAACUGCUCCUAAAUGGGAAGCGUGUUGAUAUGCAGCAAGUGGAUUUACUGGAAGCUUGGUUUUCUCAGCCUGUCACUGUAGGACUGGAUAUGGGUACAGUACAGUGCAUAGCAAAAAAUGACAUCCAGCAGCUUUUCAGUAACUCAGUAGAUCUGGAAGUUGUUCCGGUAAUGGGGACUGCACAUGUCCAAGUGGAGUAUCUCCAUAAAGCAGACUCUGUAGUAGCGGCUGCCCUGCUCCAGUGUAUGAUCACCAUGGGGACUUUUCCUAUCUACUCAUGGUCCUUCAACGGCUCCACCGUACCCCUGGAGGCCAAUUCCCCUACUUUUAUCCAACAUAACCAGGUCCUAGUUCUCACACACCUCAGCCCUGGGAACUUGGGGUAUUACAGCUGUCGAGUGAGGGACAGUUUCAACUCUAACUCAUCCUGGGUGGAGAGUGAGAAGGUCUUGGUGAAGAUGACAGUUGGCGGUUUGAAUCCUGCCUCUGCCCUGUGCCCAUGGAGCUUGCAUGUUCUCCCCGUGCCUCUGGGAUUUCCUCCGGGUACUCCCCGAGUCCAAAGACAUGCAUUGAAGGUUGACUGGCAUUUAGUCCGUAGUGUGUGAAUGUGCCCUGCGAUGGGUUGGCACCCCAUUCAGGAUGUCCCCUGCCUUGGCACAGAAAAUGGACAGAUGGAUGAAAUCAACCAGGUAUUUUUAGGAUGCAGUCAUUAUUCCACUGACUUUGUCGAACCCCGGUAACCCCUAUCACCACACUCUAAAGGUAGUCUGUUUAGCUAGUUCACAUAAAAGUAGCACUAUGUCAGCAGUCGAAAAGACUGCAUCACUCAAGUAUCAGGCUAUAAAACACUAAACUUUAUGUUAACAUGAGCUAGGUAUGACUGAUUAAGCUAGCUAAUGGUCAUUAAGAUUGGGUCUGAAUUAAAUAUUGAACUCACCCCAUAACUAACACUAUUAAAUGUUAUAGCACCUCAGUGGAUUUCAAGAAUGAUUCAAAGAAAUAUGUAGCAAACACUACAACAAACUAGAGUAUUCAAUGGACAACGACCAGGCAAAGUAAAUACAAAGUAGUAAUGAAUACACAAGCACUAACUACACAGAGGUAACUUGAUCAGCAUAUCAACUAAGGAAGAUGAAAACCAAUAAGAAUACAGUGAGAUUGGAUCUUUUAUUUUUUGUGACAAGAUGCUUAUUAACUCUGCUGCUUUUACUGUCAAGAAGCCAUUGCAAUACUGGAUCAUAUUUUGCAAGAAGUGCACUAAGAUAGGAGGAAAACAUGACAGGUUAUACUGUUACAGGAAAAUAAUCAGCCAAGAACAUGGGUAUGAUGUGGCCUGACAUGAAGUUGCAUUUACAGUUACAGUUACCACAAAAAAAGUGAGAGGUAAUUUUUUUUUCUGAUAACAGAUUUUCUAAUAACAAUAUCCAAUAUCAAAUUUUUCAAUAAGAGCACAUCCCAAAAUGUUUAAUUCCUCUUAUACCAAAGCAAAUUUUAUUCUGUUUAACGUUGUGGAACAUCUGUGAAUAAUGUUAGUUCCACUUACGUUAUAGCAUUUAUAAACAGUUAUUCUCUCAUCAGCCUUUUUGUUUCCUCUGGUGAAUUGAAUAAGGCAAGAAAUAAAUAAUCCAGCGUCUGUUGUCCCCAAGAAACCACAGACUGCAAAGCCCUCCAACCUUACGAAUGUACUCUGUUGGAAAACAGUUACAGUUAACAGUUAAAAAAAAGUUACAGUUUUAGCUCUGACUGUUUCAAAGCACUAACACUGGAGACUCCUUCCAAACAUGCUAAAGAAAUGUUGCCUGUGUAGAGCUCCGCCCCUGUGUAAGUUAGUCUAGAAACAAUAAGAUAUUAGAAAAAGGGCAUAACUAUGCAAAUCAAGGAUGUAUGCCUGAUUCUUUAUUAUUCAGCAUUUUUCAGUACAGUCCUUAUCACUGCUCUGUGGUACAUUCUCUUAAAGAUUUUGACAUGACACGAAUAGAGGUCGUAGCUGUGGUCUUCUGCUGCUUCCUGUUUGUGAUGAUGGUGGGAGGAGCUUGCUGUCUCUUCUGGAUCAUAAACUCUGAGCCUGUAAUGACAGACAACCACCAUCAUGUACACUGCCAUG